UACGUAGGGUGCAAGCGUUGUCCGGAAUUAUUGGGCGUAAAGAGCUCGUAGGCGGUCUGUCGCGUCUGCUGUGAAAACUCAGGGCUUAACCCUGAGCUUGCAGUGGGUACGGGCAGACUAGAGUGCGGUAGGGGGAGACUGGAAUUCCUGGUGUAGCGGUGAAAUGCGCAGAUAUCAGGAAGAACACCAAUGGCGAAGGCAGCUCUCUGGGACGGUACUGACGCUGAGACGCGAAAGCGUGGGGAGCGAACAGG
rnacentral:rRNA from 1 species